rnacentral:rRNA from 1 species
UACGUAGGGGGCGAGCGUUGUCCGGAAUUAUUGGGCGUAAAGAGCGUGUAGGCUGUUCGGUAAGUCUGCCGUGAAAACCUGAGGCUCAACCUCGGGCGUGCGGUGGAUACUGCCGGGCUAGAGGACGGUAGAGGCGAGUGGAAUUCCCGGUGUAGCGGUGAAAUGCGCAGAUAUCAGGAGGAACACCGGUGGCGAAGGCGGAUCUCUGGGCCAUUACUGACGCUGAGGAGCGAAAGCGUGGGGAGCGAACAGG